AAAGACCUUAUGCUUUUGGAGCGGCCGAUGUCUGAUUAGCUAGUUGGUGAGGUAAAUGCUUACCAAGGCGACGAUCAGUAGUUGGUCUGAGAGGACGACCAGCCACACUGGGACUGAGACACGGCCCAGACUCCUACGGGAGGCAGCAGUGGGGAAUUUUGGACAAUGGGCGCAAGCCUGAUCCAGCAGUGCCGUGUGCGUGAAGAAGGCCUUCGGGUUGUAAAGCUCUUUCAGUCGAGAAGAAAAGGUCGUGACUAAUACACACAACUCAUGACACCAACAACUGAAGAAGCACCGGCUAACUACGUGCCAGCAGCCGCGGUAAUACGUAGGGUGCGAGCGUUAAUCGGAAUUACUGGGCGUAAAGGGUGCGCAGGCGGUUCUGUAAGUCAGAUGUGAAAUCCCCGGGCUUAACCUGGGAACU
rnacentral:rRNA from 1 species